rnacentral:rRNA from 1 species
UACGAAGGGGGCAAGCGUUGUCCGGAAUCAUUGGGCGUAAAGCGCGCGUAGGCGGCCCGAUCAGUCCGCUGUAAAAGUCCAGGGCUCAACCCUGGAAAGCCGGUGGAUACUGUCGGGCUAGAGUCCGGAAGAGGAGAGUGGAAUUCCUGGUGUAGCGGUGAAAUGCGCAGAUAUCAGGAAGAACACCCGUGGCGAAGGCGGCUCUCUGGGACGGUACUGACGCUGAGACGCGAAAGCGUGGGGAGCGAACAGG